rnacentral:rRNA from 1 species
GGGUGAGUAAUGUCUGGGAAACUGCCUGAUGGAGGGGGAUAACUACUGGAAACGGUAGCUAAUACCGCAUAACGUCGCAAGACCAAAGAGGGGGACCUUCGGGCCUCUUGCCAUCAGAUGUGCCCAGAUGGGAUUAGCUAGUAGGUGGGGUAAUGGCUCACCUAGGCGACGAUCCCUAGCUGGUCUGAGAGGAUGACCAGCCACACUGGAACUGAGACACGGUCCAGACUCCUACGGGAGGCAGCAGUGGGGAAUAUUGCACAAUGGGCGCAAGCCUGAUGCAGCCAUGCCGCGUGUGUGAAGAAGGCCUUCGGGUUGUAAAGCACUUUCAGCGAGGAGGAAGGUGGUGAGCUUAAUACGCUCAUCAAUUGACGUUACUCGCAGAAGAAGCACCGGCUAACUCCGUGCCAGCAGCCGCGGUAAUGCGGAGGGUGCAAGCGUUAAUCGGAAUUACUGGGCGUAAAGCGCACGCAGGCGGUUUGUUAAGUCAGAUGUGAAAUCCCCGGGCUCAACCUGGGAACUGCAUUUGAAACUGGCAAGCUAGAGUCUCGUAGAGGGGGGUAGAAUUCCAGGUGUAGCGGUGAAAUGCGUAGAGAUCUGGAGGAAUACCGGUGGCGAAGGCGGCCCCCUGGACGAAGACUGACGCUCAGGUGCGAA